rnacentral:rRNA from 1 species
CCUACGGGAGGCAGCAGUGAGGAAUAUUGGUCAAUGGACGAAAGUCUGAACCAGCCAUGCCGCGUGCAGGAAGACGGCUCUAUGAGUUGUAAACUGCUUUUGUACAAGGGUAAACCUGAAUACGUGUAUUCCUCUGCAUGUACUGUACGAAUAAGGAUCGGCUAACUCCGUGCCAGCAGCCGCGGUAAUACGGAGGAUCCAAGCGUUAUCCGGAUUUAUUGGGUUUAAAGGGUGCGUAGGCGGAGUGAUAAGUUAGAGGUGAAAUGUCCGAGCUUAACUCGGGAAGUGCCGCUAAUACUGGAGAUCUAGAGAGUAGAUGAGGUAGGCGGAAUGUAUGGUGUAGCGGUGAAAUGCUUAGAGAUCAUACAGAACACCGAUUGCGAAGGCAGCUUACCAAGCUAUAUCUGACGCUGAGGCACGAAAGCGUGGGGAGCAAACAGGAUUAGAUACCCCAGUAGUC